AGCCAAACUCUUCUUCCUCCUCUUGUUGUAUCUCUGAUCUCUGCUGCAUAUUUCCCCCAAGGUCUUUUUCUUACACCUAUAUAUGACUUCUGAUCCAUCUUAUUAUUAUUUUUCUGCAAACUUGUUUUAGCUUCAGAAUUGUUCUUCACUGAUUGAUUUGUCUCAUUUUUGGUUUGUUUUCUUUGUUGGUCAACCAUGUCAAAAGAAAGAGAACCAUGAAAAGGGUGAUGAUGAAGUGAUUCAAAGAGAAUAUUAUUAGGAUCUUGUUGCAACAUUUCAAAAUCUGGGUUAAAGAAGAAAGAUCUACUCAUCAUAGGCAGGUAUAUUAUGGAAACAAAUUUUUGUUUGGUUAUUUUCUUCUCUGUCUUCCACUCUUGGUUAUAAUUUGAUUCAUAAUGUCAUUAUACCCACUGGAGGUUCUUAUUAAAAUGUCAAUUUGGAUUAUUCUAAUUAUAUUAUUCUAAUGAUAAUUUGUUGAGAGAAUCUAAAUCUAUUGAGGAAACUAAUCUUAUUAAAUUCAUGGCCCAGAUGCUAUUAAGAGUAGUCCGUGUGUAAGAUUUAAUAUUGUGAAAGUAGAUUUGAUUUACCCAUAACGGUAAUACUGUUGAGGAAUAUUAUAAUACCCGUUUAUUUUCUAAAAUCCAUGUUCAUUUUAAAUUGACCAACAAAGAGACGAGAUAUUCAUGUAGUAACUAGUAACUAUUGUGAUAGAAAAAAUAUGGAAAGAUAAACUUUGAAAGAAUGCAUUUCUAGAAACAAUAAAACAAUGUUUUUUUACAUCUUUCUGAAAAUAUUAGUGUUUCCGGUUAAAAUAGGAGUUGGGGUCUAGCUAAUGAAUCAGGGCCAGGCAUGAGGGGAGGCAAGUGAGGCAGCCGUUUUGAGCCUCAUAUUUUUGUUUUUGGCUCAGGUGCGAACAGGUUGAAGUUUCAGCUAAGGAGGGGAUAAAAUUUCACAAGAGGAGACUGUUUAGUUUAUUUAUUUAGAAUUGAAAAUGUUGGAUG
rnacentral:lncRNA from 1 species